CCCAGUGUUCGGACUACCUGUUCA
rnacentral:miRNA from 11 species